CCCCAGGUGUGUUUUUAUCCCCCCCAGGUGUCCCCAGGUGUCCCCAGGUACCCCAGGUGUGUCCCCAGAUGUCCCCAGGUGUCCCCAGGUGUCCCCAGGUGUCCCCAGGUGUGCCCAGUUGUGCCCAGGUGUGUUCAGGUGUCCCCAGGUGUGCCCAGGUGUCCCCAGGUGUGCCCAGGUGUCCCCAGGUGUGUUUUUAUCCCCCCCAGGUGUCCCCAGGUGUGCCCCCAGGUGUCCCCAGGUGUCCCCAGGUGUGCCCAGGUGUCCCCAGGUGUGCCCAGGUGUGUCCAGGUGUCCCCAGGUGAUAUUCAGGUGUGCCCAGGUGUGCCCAGGUGUCCCCAGGUGUGCCCAGGUGUCCCCAGGUGUGUUCCAGGUGUCCCCAGGUGUGUCCAGGUGUGUCCCCAGGUGUCCCCAGGUGUAUCUCAGGUGUCCCCAGGUGUGCCCAGGUGUGUUUUUAUCCCCCCCAGGUGUGCCCAGGUGUCCCCAGGUGCCCCCAGGGUGAUGUUCAGGUGUGUCCAGGUGUGCCCAGGUAUGUCCCCAG
rnacentral:lncRNA from 1 species